CCACAGGCCCCGGGCCGCCCCCAGGCCGCCCUUAGCAACGUGACGCCGCAGGCGGUUGCUAGGGCCGGGGCAGGAAGUGCUUGCCGGCGGCGGAGAGCAGUUCCGGGGCAGCGCGGCAUGGCGGCGCGAGGCCGCCACUGCGGGCUGUGCUCUGCUGGCUUGGCACCGGGAGGACAGCCCCGAUGAGUGGGCACGGACGCAGCCACGGUUGGCAAGAAGGACAAGCGGGUGCUGUCCUAGCAGUGUCUUCCCACAAGGAUCAAGCUUCCUGCGUAUGGCCGUAGCACCCCUGAUGCUCUCGGCAGGCACGGCAGCCUGUGGCCCGCAUCAGCUCUGUGCCCCAGCUGCUGCCUCUCUGCUCCCCGCUGCCAGCUGCCUGCUUCGUGGCAGGAGGAGAUGCUCUCUUGCUGUCACCGAGUAUGAGCAGUAGGGCAAGGACGCUGCCGUAGUCCACAGGCCUGCAGUGACUGACAUCCUUCCAAGUCCCCGGGUGUCCUCUGGAAGUGGUGUCCUGCAAUACUUACCUACCACGACUUUGCCCCCCAGGCUGUCUGAGAUGCUCUAGCAAAUAGUAGGUAAUGUUGGAAUCCCAGCAUGGGACCGCACAUGGGAAGAGGCACUGGAUGCUGAAAUGGAAGCCAUGGCUUCUGUCUCGCAGGAGGCAGGCGUAGUCAGAGUGUCGGGGAGCAGAGUGUGAGUGGCUGCGCAAUGGAGUUGGCACUCAGGCGAGCAACACGUGACUGUGCCACAAACUUCCCGUGUGGCCAUUGCAAGGUAGGCAUGCCUUACUGUAAGCGUGCGCUGAGGCAGUGUUGGUUAAGCACAGCUCAUUGC
ensembl:lncRNA